GUGAGAACUUCACUGAUGCCUUUCGGCCAAUCGGAUGGUGCUUUUUCCAGGCCCACCCAUGACCGCCCAUGGACCAAUCAGCAUGCACUUCCUCUAUUCUGAGUCCAUAAAAAUCCCUGGAUUCGUACACACACUCUUCGGGAUGACCUGCCUAUGCCAUGAAGCUGAGGAUUGGUAGCCCUUUUAGAGGAACACGUGCUUCCAGACCAGGUUGGAGUGCAGCAGCAUGGUCCCGGCUCACUGCAGUCUUAACCUUCCCUGGCUCAAGUGAUUCUCCUGCUUCAGGUUCCCGAGUAGCUAGGACUACAGGACUGAAUUGAGAUGAGCUUCAAAGUGUGUGCCACAAUGGAGCCAAAAUCAGUGAUGGGCAGAUGGCAAGAAUCAGAACAGAUGGAAAACUGAAAUCAGAUUAUCAGAGACAGAAUAGAGUACUUGAUUAAUUUAAGGAAAAGAUACGUCAAGGGAAUAAAGGGUUACCAUUUCUCUCAUUCUUUCUCUGUUUUUCUCUCUGUCUCUUUCUCUUAUAUACUUUUAUUUAAUUUCAGGUUCAGGGAAGCUGCAAAUUAAAACAAAAUAAAAAAUGUAGUUGUCA
rnacentral:lncRNA from 1 species